rnacentral:rRNA from 1 species
UCCUGGCUCAGAGUGAACGCUGGCGGUAGGCCUAACACAUGCAAGUCGAACGGCAGCACAGGAGAGCUUGCUCUCUGGGUGGCGAGUGGCGGACGGGUGAGGAAUACAUCGGAAUCUACUUUUUCGUGGGGGAUAACGUAGGGAAACUUACGCUAAUACCGCAUACGACCUACGGGUGAAAGCAGGGGAUCUUCGGACCUUGCGCGAUUGAAUGAGCCGAUGUCGGAUUAGCUAGUUGGCGGGGUAAAGGCCCACCAAGGCGACGAUCCGUAGCUGGUCUGAGAGGAUGAUCAGCCACACUGGAACUGAGACACGGUCCAGACUCCUACGGGAGGCAGCAGUGGGGAAUAUUGGACAAUGGGCGCAAGCCUGAUCCAGCCAUACCGCGUGGGUGAAGAAGGCCUUCGGGUUGUAAAGCCCUU